CUACGGGGUGCUGCAGUGGGGAAUAUUGCACAAUGGGCGCAAGCCUGAUGCAGCAACGCCGCGUGAGUGAAGAAGGCCUUCGGGUCGUAAAACUCUGUCCUAAGGGAAGAAAAAAAUGACGGUACCUUAGGAGGAAGCCCCGGCUAACUACGUGCCAGCAGCCGCGGUAAUACGUAGGGGGCAAGCGUUAUCCGGAAUCACUGGGCGUAAAGGGUGCGGAGGUGGCUAAUCAAGCCAGGAGUGAAAGGCUAUGGCUUAACCAUAGUAAGCUUUUGGAACUGAAUAGCUUGAGUGCAGGAGAGGAAAGUGGAAUUCCUAGUGUAGAGGUGAAAUUCGUAGAUAUUAGGAGGAACACCAGUGGCGAAGGCGACUUUCUGGACUGUAACUGACACUGAGGCACGAAAGCGUGGGGAGCGAACAGGAUUAGAUACCCUAGUAGUC
rnacentral:rRNA from 1 species